AGGAUGCCUGCCAGGACUUCGCUGUUUCCUGCACAGCUUGAUGGGAUGUGCCCUAUUCUCUGCCCCUGGCCCUGCAUUCUGGGGGCUGACUGCUGUGCUGAGACCUGCAUGCUCCCACUGCCUUCCUGCAGCCUGGCUGAGCACGGCAGGCUGCUUCCAACCCCCCAGUGCUGUGAGAUGGAGCUGAAUUGAGGGUCAGCCCAGCCCCGUGCUGUCUGCAGUGUUGUCCUGCACGGUGUAGGGAUGUUGGCUGACUGAGCUGGGAACGUGUUGUGAUUCCAUCCCUCACCUCCAUCCCUUUGUGCCUCAGUUUCCCUGUGUGUAAUGUGACAUUUGUCUUUCGAUAUGUCUGUCAUCGAGGUGAGUUCUUUCUCCUCCUUCCCUUCUCCUGGGGCUGUGCAGUGUGCUUAGGGCAGCACGGAGCUCCGCAGGUCGGCAGCCCCUCUGCCCCUCUUGGAGCACCCCAGGGAAGCCAGGACCCCACGAACCCCCCAACGAUGACAGCCAUCAGCACCGCCCGUGCCUCUGCUCCGCAGCGCUGUGCCUUCCCCCUUCCUGCUGUGAGAGAGGGGGGAGAGCAGCCGUGUGCAAGCCAAAGCCUUUCUGAGCCCCCCACCCACAGCAGGGGCCAAAAAGCCAUACAGCUUCCCUCCCGAGUGCAAUACUGCGUUCCUCCUUCCUCCCCCCCACCAUGGGGAAGAGCCACGUACUGAGCCAGGGCUCCCAGCAUCCAGCCCUACCUGGGGGGGUUUGGGAUUAAGCCAGCAGCGUGUUGCCCACUGCAUCCCACUCGACCCCAUAGGAUGGUGCACGGUCAACGCUCACCCUCCCCAUGAGCUUCCCACCCCCCGGUCCAUCGCUAUGGGGCUCUGAUGGAGGGGAUGGGCCCCUUCCCCCUGUGCAAAGGGCUUUGAGCCUGGUAGGAUUCUGCCUUUUACUUUUGUAACAAAAUAAAGAUUUUCCCAUUUCCUGUC